rnacentral:lncRNA from 1 species
CCACAUCUGAUUUGUGAACUUCUGGACUGCUUCAAGAUUUAUUUCAUCUUCAAUGCUUGUGCUUUCGUAGAGGGGCAGGUAGGGAUUUGGCCCAUAAUAACCAAAAAGGGGAGUUUGAGAAGUGUUUUGGACUUUAAUCUCCAACGGGAGGUUAAACAAAUCUUGCAGCUCAGAGAAUAUGGAAUCACUAACCUCUGAAGGAUACUUAUCAUGAACAGCUAUGAAACAGCCAUACUCUUCAAAUGCCCGUGUGACUGUGUUUCGCGCUUCAGUCCAAGAAUCUUUUCCAGAUCUUAGGAUUUCCUCCGUCAAAUUUAUGACCGGAAGCCUGAUAUUUGAAGCGGAAUCCAUGGUUUUACGCAGCCUCUUUCCUCACACGCACUUCCCUGUCGUUCAAUUUAGCUCGAUCAAUUAACAAUAAGGGCUAGCCAUUGCUGGUAUUUGAAGAGCCAAUAGGUUAAACAAUUCAGAUUAGGUGUUGGGUUAAACAAUUCAUGCUUAGGUGUUGCGAGAACCGCUAAGUUCUUUUCCAAUUACACAGUAAUACACGGUACAAUUUCAACGAGGUAGGUGUGGAGGGAGAAGGGCAGGAACGGUUGCAGGUAGCAACUGCUCCGGGUAGGGGAGGAUAAAAAAACCCGUCGGUCCAAAAAAUGAUGAAAUCAAUCCGAUUCGAUCCGAAAAAUAGGAUAUUCGAUCCGAUUUUUCUUAGCGGGACAGAUGAGGGUCGGGUACCCACAAAAAUCGGGUACGGAUACGGAUUAUAAAAAUAAAAACUCGCAGGGUAUAUUUUACAAAUAUUAAAAAAUUAGGGAUUGUAAUUUUUAAUUCUAAGUGCAAGUGAAGUGGCUCACAGCCUUAUAUUCUAAUCCUAUAUUUCCACCUCUUCUCAUCUUGUUUGAAGAAAGCGAAUAUUCUCAGUGAAAUAUGAACCAAAUGAACAAAAUGAAAAACAACUCUGUUAUAAAAAUUGUUUAUCCCUUUCAACCUUUUUAUUUUUAUUCUACCUCCAUCAAUCUUUCCUACAAAUUUUGCAUCAAUUCAAUCAAAGAUUUGUGUUUGGAGUUUCAAUUUUCUGUUUGCUAGAUAAUUAAAACAUUUGUGUGUUUCAUUUAUUUAUUUAUUCGAUUUAUUUUAUUGCAAUUAUGUCUCUUAAAUUUGUCACUUUUAUUUAGUGUAAGAAAUUUAUUUUUCUUUUUCAUCACCUUUAAUACCAUAAGGUCUAUUCCAAGGAUGUAAAGAAGUUGGGAAAGAUUUUUUAAGAUUAUUUUGGUUAUAUUUUUCCCAAAAAUAAUUAAUUCUAUUCAAUUCUUUUCCAAACUUGAUUUCACAAUCGACUUAUUUGGGAUGCAAUCUUGUACCAUAACAUCCUUAAGGAAGUUGGGGAAGUUGCCAAAUACUUAUUAUCCUUGUGUUUGUUGUGUUGUAGAAGGAUGAACUGUGUGAGAAUAGUGAUGUACUCAAAAUUAUUAUGAAACUUCGUUUUGUCCAUUAAUUCUAAUAUGUACUAAAUUUAUGAGAUCGAUUUGAUUGUUGGAUGAAAUGUGUGAGAAUGGUAAUGUAUGGAUUUUAAUUACAAUAUCUCUACCAAUAUUAAUUGGAAAAGCAUGUUUUUUUUUUAUUGAAAAACAUGUUGAUAUUAAGUGGAAAAUAAUUUUUUUUAUUGAAAAUUAGUUUUUUAGAGGCGGGUAUCCUAUGACUCGUCCCUUUUUUUCGGGUACCUGAAAACAAUAGGAGUGGGUUAGGGUCGCAAAAUGGCUGAUCCGAUAUAUUAUGAUCGGAUCAACCAAAUCAUGUUAGGGGCGGGUACCUGACCUGUGUCCAACCCUAGUUCUUGGCAAUUUACGGUCAAGAUUUGGCCAAAAAAAAAAUGUAAAGUAAAGCAAAAAGGGGAUAGCUGCCAAUCUAGUUUUGCCCUCCAACUGUUAAGCAUAUCCCUUUGCACCCUCAAACUUGCAAAAUGGUAUAUCCUCACCCUUUUGGCUAGAAAUAAUUUUAGAAACCUCUGUUGACAUUUAUGUUAAUAUCAUUUAGGAUAUCUAAAGUUUCAAAAAUAUCACUAACCUCCCAUAAAACUAUACCUUUGUAAUAAUCUCACCCUCGUAUUAUUAAAAAAUUCUUAAAAUAAUCAGUUAGCAAGAGAGAUAUAUUUUUCUCCCAAUUCUACCCUUUUGUAUUGUCUUACAUUGAAUUUUCUACUAAGUUGACUAUAAUAUAAGAUUUACAUGUUUUACCUAAAAAUUUUCUCUUCUAUAAUGUUUUGCCUAUAUAUUGUUAAAGUAGUGAAGAGAGUUUUAUUAAUUUUGUAUCCUAUGAUAGUGAUUAAUAGCGUCAUCUCACUGAUAUAGGAGUUAAGUGAUAUUUUAAAAAUUUCAAAAGUGUCAGAGUGAUAUUACUACAAACCUUGGGAGAGGUUUCUGACAUUAUCUCUAGCCAAAAGUGUAAAAAAUAUACCCAUUUUACAAGUUUGGGGAAUAUGUGUGUGUACUUGAUAAUUGGAGGUUAAAGGUUGAUCAACUAUAUAUUUUGAGAGCCAUUCAGACUUUUUGCCUAAUUUAAUUCGAUCAAUGUCUUCAAUGCACUCUCGUAACUCAUAUCAAAGUAUAAAUAACUCAUCAUAAUUUUUUAUUGUAAAAUGAGAAUUUGAGUCCAAAAUUUUCACAUGGAGAGAUAGGUUGAAUUGUACAGGGAAGAGCGCAUAAGUGAGGCUCUUGCUUGUAAUUUAGGCCCUGUUCAGGCUGUAAUCUGUUUCUUGCACCCUACCAAUAAACAUUGAAUUUCUUUCUUUUGCCAGAAAGAAAAUUGAUUUAUUUAUUACUUCUCGGCAGAAAACAGAUAGUGCAUUACAAUAAAUUAUUUCAUAGAAUAAUCCAUAACAUCUUCUAGAAAGCUACUCCAUAACAUCUUCUAGAAAAAGUGGGCACAAAAGGGGAGAAGUAUAUACAUCGACGGAACAGAAGACAAAAGCGUUUCAUCCAUCUCGACAAACAUGUCUACACAACGGUUGCGAAUGGAUGAGAAAUGACAGCCCAUUAUUGCACAAAAGGACUGCAGUCUUGCGAUCAUUAAAAAUCGUGUUUUAGAUGCCACAGUAGGCCUUCAGUGGAUUUUGAGUUUUCCGACCCUCAUCUGUGCUUAUGAAUCCGAGAAAACCAAGAUUGUCGAAUGGCUUAUAUAAUAAGGGGUGUUCAUCGUCAACCAGCUCCGUUGGUGCCUCUACCAAUUUCUUGCAAUAGGCAAACUGUGCAAUCGAAUACCUUCCUUUUCCCUUCACAGUUACUCUAUGAAAUGGGGAAUGCACUCUACCGUUGCUCCACACCUGCAUUUCAAAAAUGUAUACAAUGUAUUAAUAUCCACUAGAGAUGUCAGUAUUUACAACAAAAAUACCUAAAGUUAAUGGCACAAAUGCCAUGCCAACAUUCUAGAUGAUUUAGGUAGAAAACAUCUGUGCGGCUUUUUUCCAACUUAGAUAAUGUAUGGCGAAGCCAUUAUUGAAUCCAGUUUUCUAAUUGAGCCAGAUUGCAAUGUUGUAACUAAGUUUGAUAUGAUUCAGGCUUGCAGAUUUAGUGAAAAAAAGAAAAUAUCUCACCGAGAAUGCAUCUCCAGCCAUGAUUACUACGGAGAAAGGAGGAAAGUCAACAGGAAUCCAGCUUCCAUUCUUCAACUGAACUUCUAAACCAUCAACUUCAUUCUGUUGAAGUAUGGUUAUGAAGUUCUUGUCAGUAUGAGGACGAACACCGAGAUUAGUCUCAUUCUGUUCGGGUGCUCUGUACUUUGCUAAUCUAAGAAAAUAAGUCACUGAUCCCACAUGAGAUUCGUGGUACUUCUCCACACCGUAACUUUCAAACACCAAUUUGCUCACCAUUUUAUCUAAUUCUGCUACUUGAUUUGCAUAGCAGUGCAACAGUUCACUAGUCAUGGAAACAGGAUAUUCAAAAAAAAAAAAAAAAAAAAAAAGCACUUCGGAUAUGAAUAAUGAAUAGCAUAUUAAUGGAAAAAGGUUUACCAGAAAUGGUUAUUUUUGGAGGGCCACAUCUGAUUUGUGAACUUCUGGACUGCUUCAAGAUUUAUUGCAUCUUCAAUGCUCGUGCUUUCGUAGAGGGGCAGGUAGGGAUUUGGCCCAUAAUAACCAAAGAGGGGAGUUUGAGAAGUGUUUUGGACUUUAAUCUCCAACGGGAGGUGAAACAAAUCUUGCAGCUCAGAGAAUAUGGAAUCACUAACCUCUGAAGGAUACUUAUCAUGAACAGCUAUGAAACAGCCAUACUCUUCAAAUGCCCG